AAAUGGCCGCAGUAUUUUAACUGUGCAAAGGUAGCAUAAUCAUUAGUCUUUUAAUUGAAGGCUUGUAUGAAGGGUUGGACGAGAUAUUGACUGUUUCAUAAAAAUUGAAUUAGAAUUUUAUUUUUUAGUUAAAAAGCUAAAAUUUUUUUAAAAGACGAGAAGACCCUAUAGAUCUUUAUAUUUUUUAUAUUGUAAUUAUUUAGAUUAUUUAGGUUACUAUUAUAUAAAAUAUUUUGUUGGGGUGACAUUAAAAUUUAAUUAACUUUUAAUUAAUAUUUACAUUGAUUUAUGAAUUUUUGAUCCAUUAAUAAUGAUUAAAAAAUUAAGUUACCUUAGGGAUAACAGCGUAAUUUUUUUAGAGAGUUCAUAUCGAUAAAAAAGAUUGCGACCUCGAUGUUGGAUUAAGAUAUAAUUUUGGGUGCAGCAAUUCAGUUAUUAAGUC
rnacentral:rRNA from 1 species